GACAGAGGGGGCAAGCGUUGCUCGGAAUUACUGGGCGUAAAGGGCGCGUAGGCGGGAUGGCAAGUCGGUCGUGAAAUCCCUCGGCUCAACCGAGGAACGUCGAUCGAUACUGCUGUUCUUGAGGAUUGCAGAGGAGACUGGAAUUCCCGGUGUAGCGGUGAAAUGUGUAGAGGUCGGGAGGAACACCGGUGGCGAAGGCGGCGUUCUGGACUGCAACUGACACUGAGGAACGAAAGCGUGGGGAGCGAACAGG
rnacentral:rRNA from 1 species